rnacentral:rRNA from 1 species
UACGUAGGGUGCAAGCGUUAAUCGGAAUUACUGGGCGUAAAGCGUGCGCAGGCGGUUCGCUAAGACAGGUGUGAAAUCCCCGGGCUUAACCUGGGAACUGCAUUUGUGACUGCAUCGCUGGAGUGCGGCAGAGGGGGAUGGAAUUCCGCGUGUAGCAGUGAAAUGCGUAGAUAUGCGGAGGAACACCGAUGGCGAAGGCAAUCCCCUGGGCCUGCACUGACGCUCAUGCACGAAAGCGUGGGGAGCAAACAGG